AAAGAUAUAGUUUAAUUAAAAUAUUAGAUUGUAAAUCUAAAGAUUUAAUCUUUG
rnacentral:tRNA from 1 species